ACGCACGCUGGCGGCGUGCUUAACACCUGCAAGUCGAACGGAAAGGCCCUGCUUUUGUGGGGUGCUCGAGUGGCGAACGGGUGAGUAACACGUGAGUAACCUGCCCUUGACUUUGGGAUAACUUCAGGAAACUGGGGCUAAUACCGGAUAGGAGCUCCUGCUGCAUGGUGGGGGUUGGAAAGUUUCGGCGGUUGGGGAUGGACUCGCGGCUUAUCAGCUUGUUGGUGGGGUAGUGGCUUACCAAGGCUUUGACGGGUAGCCGGCCUGAGAGGGUGACCGGCCACAUUGGGACUGAGAUACGGCCCAGACUCCUACGGGAGGCAGCAGUGGGGAAUAUUGCACAAUGGGCGGAAGCCUGAUGCAGCAACGCCGCGUGCGGGAUGACGGCCUUCGGGUUGUAAACCGCUUUCGCCUGUGACGAAGCGUGAGUGACGGCAAUGGGUAAAGAAGCACCGGCUAACUACGUG
rnacentral:rRNA from 1 species